CCUACGGGAGGCAGCAGUGAGGAAUAUUGGUCAAUGGACGAGAGUCUGAACCAGCCAAGUAGCGUGAAGGAUGACUGCCCUAUGGGUUGUAAACUUCUUUUAUAUGGGAAUAAAAUGUUCCACGUGUGGGAUUUUGUAUGUACCAUAUGAAUAAGGAUCGGCUAACUCCGUGCCAGCAGCCGCGGUAAUAAGGAGGAUCCGAGCGUUAUCCGGAUUGAUUGGGUUUAAAGGGAGCGUAUGUGGAUUGUUAAGUCAGUUGUGAAAGUUUGCGGCUCAACCGUAAAAUUGCAGUUGAAACUGGCAGUCUUGAGUACAGUAGAGGUGGGCGGAAUUCGUGGUGUAGCGGUGAAAUGCUUAGAUAUCACGAAGAACUCCGAUUGCGAAGGCAGCUCACUGGACUGCAACUGACACUGAGGCUCGAAAGUGUGGGUAUCAAACAGGAUUAGAUACCCUGGUAGUC
rnacentral:rRNA from 1 species